GUGGGGGAUAUUGCACAAUGGGGGGAACCCUGAUGCAGCGACGCCGCGUGGGCGAUGGAGUGCUUCGGCAUGUAAAGCCCUAUCAGCAGGGAAGAAAAUGACGGUACCUGACUAAGAAGCCCCGGCUAAAUACGUGCCAGCAGCCGCGGUAAUACGUAUGGGGCAAGCGUUAUCCGGAUUUACUGGGUGUAAAGGGAGCGUAGGCGGCCUGGCAAGCCUGAUGUGAAAUACCGGGGCCCAACCCCGGGGCUGCAUUGGGAACUGCCAGGCUGGAGUGCCGGAGAGGCAGGCGGAAUUCCUAGUGUAGCGGUGAAAUGCGUAGAUAUUAGGAGGAACACCAGUGGCGAAGGCGGCCUGCUGGACGGUGACUGACGCUGAGGCUCGAAAGCGUGGGGAGCAAACAGG
rnacentral:rRNA from 1 species